UUUCCGUUGGUGAACCUGCGGAGGGAUCAUUAUUGUAUUACAGAGCUCCGAGAACUAUCGCUAACCCAACACUACGCGCACGCCUCAGUGCCCUCACAAACACCCCUCCGACCCCAAUGUGCCCCCCCGAGUCCGCCCCACUUUGGCUUUUUACAAGGUGGGCUUACGUUUUCCCAUAAAUUUUGUAUGCAAAGUUGAAUGUAAUUUUUGUUUUUGUUCUCACGUAAACAAUACAACUAUCAAAAACGGAUAUCAUGGCUCUCGUAUCGAUGUAGAAUC
rnacentral:misc_RNA from 1 species